rnacentral:piRNA from 1 species
UACACACUGUUCUUACUGAAA